AAGCUCAGACUCGGGCAGCGCCGCCCGCCCCGCCCGCUCCACGCGGGGUGCCGAGCCCCGGGCCCCCCCCAAGCCGAAGGAGUCCGGGGCUCGGGAGCCGGCGCCCAGGACCCCGCGCCUCCGCGAACUGCGGUCCAGGCCCCGCCCCGGGGGCCGGGCUUCCUCGGGCCCCGCCCUGGCGAUGGGGAGGGUCCCGGCGGAGGCGGCGGGGGAGGGUUUGGUUUCAAGGAACAAAAAAUUUCCCAGAAAAGUUCAAGACCUGGACUUGGAGCAAAUGCCCAGCUCAGCCACCAGAUACCCAGGUGACGUGGAAAGCUUCCUAGCCUUCCUGUAUCUCCAG